GGACCCGCACAAGCGGUGGAGCAUGUGGUUUAAUUCGAUGCAACGCGAAGAACCUUACCUGGUCUUGACAUCCUGCGAACUUUCUAGAAAUAGAUUGGUGCCUUCGGGAACGCAGUGACAGGUGCUGCAUGGCUGUCGUCAGCUCGUGUCGUGAGAUGUUGGGUUAAGUCCCGUAACGAGCGCAACCCCCUAUCCUUAUUUGCCAGCACAUUAUGGUGGGAACUAUAAGGAGACUGCCGGUGAUAAACCGGAGGAAGGCGGGGACGACGUCAAGUCAUCAUGGCCCUUACGACCAGGGCUACACACGUGCUACAAUGGGAAGGACAAAGAGCCGCGAAGCCGCGAGGUGUAGCUAAUCUCAUAAACCUUUUCGUAGUCCGGAUUGGAGUCUGCAACUCGACUCCAUGAAGCCGGAAUCGCUAGUAA
rnacentral:rRNA from 1 species